GGGAUUACAGGCGUGAGCCACGGCGCCCAGCCUCAUUUUAUUAUUAUCUUUCAUGGUUCUAGAUACAGACUACACUCAAACAUAGAAGAAACCAAUUUACGUUGUAAGAGAAUUGCACAGGCAAAGGAGCCAGUGGCUGGAGUGAAGAGACUGUGCCUGUCUGAGGCUUAAAACAGCCUGUGGACUCCAACAUCUGUAGGUAGGAAGCAGGCUGAAGGCCAGCUUGGCAUCCCAGGGAGUGCACAUUCUUUAAGGUCCUUUUCAGCUACAGCUCAGGCAGGUAGGAAAUUGAGAGGCCCUCCCAGUGGGCAGAGCCUGGGGCCAGAGAGAAAAAUGGGGCAGAAAGUUUCUCCCAGGGAAAACAAUCAGUGGGGCUGGUCAAGGAAUAUUCCCCACCCUUAGGAAAAGGGCUGCUCACGAUUGUCCCCUGGGGGGACUUUAAAAUGACACGGGUCAGUGACUCCUGUGUGCCUCCCACGCUUCUCUUUCCAAAUGAGAGUGUUUAUUGUGUCCCUGUCCCCAGCUGCAUACUGGGAUUGUGUGUGGGAGCAGGUGACUUGCCUUGUUAUUUCUUUGGUGUCCCCAUCUAAAGGAGGCGUGUCCAAACCUGCUCUAGACAGGCUUGUGCUUUGGCACAGAUCCUGGACUUUCAGCUCUGAGCAGUGCCUGGAGGGGAGUUUUGGGUUGUGUCCCUUGGGGAGCAGUAAGUGUGAUCUACUGUGAGAAGAGGGGAGAGAACUGUGUAUUUGGUAACCAGAGAACAGACUGUGGAGGAUCAUAUGAAUGUUCACCAAAUACUGUGUCACCCUCCUCUGCAGGGCUUCUCCCUGCAGCGGGAGGAUUCUACGUCCUUGCUCUGUUGAAUGCAGUGUGACCAUUUGACUUGCUGUAACCAAUGACACACGCAUGUAAGUGACAGGUGUAACCAAUGACACACGCAUGUAAGUGACAGGUGUAGCCUCUGAGCAGAAGGAUUAAGAAUCACUGUGUUUACCUUUCCCUCUGUAACAGCAACUGGCACUGUCCCAGACAGAAACUGCUUUCUCAGUCCUGGUCCUGGAGUAAAGAUGAUGCAGAACAAAGCCAUAACUGACUCACGGUGAAGGCAACAUAUGAAAAAUUAACCUUUUGUUGUUGCGAGCCCUUGGAUGCUCUCAAUUCAUGGGGAGGGCUUGGGGACCCUGGGAACCCUAACAGGGCCUGAGUUCUUCUUGCACAAUAGCUAUCAGCUGCAAAAGCACACAGCCCAUUUCACGCACUCAGUUUCCCUGUCCUUCCUGAGAAAAUGGAGUUCCCCUCCACAUGUCAGCAGGCUUCACAUCAGGAAAACAGUAGUUGGCAGAGAGCUUCCGGGGGGCGCCAGCCUCCAGACAGCCUCCCAUCCACAGUACAGGUCUCUGUGAAGCAGAAAUUGUGAGGAGUUUUUGGCUAUCCGGGUUCCAGGCUGAUGAAAGGCAGCUGAACACAGCAGACAUUUUGAGAUGGUGGCAAGUCAGGGGAGCCUCUAGGUCCUACUUGUUGGAGGUCUUUUGUUGCCCUGUGACCUCUCGCCUUUGGCUUCCUCAUUAGGUAUUAAAGACGUUGGCAGUGACACUGGAAUGGAUGCAAAGAUGGGAGACGUCUAACCACAGCCCGUUCUACAGAGCAGAACUGAGGCUCAGGUAUUGAGGUUGAUUAAAGAUGGCUGCCAAUUCUGUGCUGCUUGUCCCAUUGAGCUGUGAAGUCUUAUUCCCCUCCUAGGGUCUGGACCAGCCUUGAGGACUUGCUUAUUACAAUGUGGUAGAAGUGAUGGUGCAUGACUUCCAAGGUUAGAUCAGAAGAAGCCUUGAAGUUCCUGCCUUGGUCUCCUGAAACACUCUCUCUAAGUGUCAGCUUACCGUGUAAGAAGUCUGACGCCCUGAGACCGCCAUGUUGGCAUAGUUAUGGGUGGAUGCUCCGGUAGACGGAUCCAGCUGAGCCCAGCCCUCCAGCCAUUCCCACCCCCAAACCAUGGGUGAAACUGUUUUGGACCCUCCAGUCCAGCCCACUCAACAUCUAAAUACCACAGACUGACCUCAGCUGAUACCAUCACCCAGCUAAACUGUCCCUGAAACUGACCCGCAAGAUCACGAGAUAAGCUAAAAUGGUUGUUGUCCUAAGUCACUAAGAUAAUAGAGCAGAUAUAUAUGCCCUUAACACUCUCUCCUGGGGGCCUGCUUUUCCUUUCCCCAUUUUGUGUUGCAUGCCUGGUUGUUCUCACCGAUUUCGCAAGUUGGGAGGUGUGAUGAGCCUGGGAUAUUCAUCUUCAACAGAAACGAUCCAGAUAAGCUCUUCAUUCAAACAGGGUUUGGGCUGCACUGCAAUUUUGUUGUCAAAUUGGAUUUGGAGGUGCUCAGGUUUAGUGAGCACCUCCGUGGGAAAGAGAACUCCGUUGGAUGGUAAGAUCUUUGUGUUUGGAGAUGAGCAGAUGACGACUGGGAUACUGGAGAUUUUGAAUGUGCACCCGGCUGAGAAGACCACACCAAUGGGCCUAUAUGCAGAAUUCAAGGUGAAAACUGCUUUGGAUGGUAGUAGUUGACACUGUUUGCAAAACCAGAAGCUGACGGUGGCUCUGCUGGUCAUCCAGAAGCCUCCAGGAAGUCAUAGCUACGUCUCAUUUCUCCUCUGACUGUUCAAAUGACCUCUUUUACAAAAAUACUUCUCUACUUAAUCUACCCUCUCUCUCCAAUUGUCUAAACCCCACUUUACUUCUUAGAAUUAUUGACCAUAGGAUCUGAAAGGAAUUGUAUAGAUUAUUUCAUCCAACCUUCUUAUUUCAUUAAUGAGGAAACUGAGAGUCUAAAAGGUUAAAAUAAGACCAGAAUCCAAGUAUUUCAAGUCUUCUUUCAAUCUUGUAAUGUUUGAUUUUGUUAAAUAUGUAUCCCAUAGCUACACUGAAUGCUUUUUACUUUGGAUUCUUCUCCAUCCCCUACUAUGCCUUACUCAGGGCUUGUUCAUAGCAAAUAAAUGUCUGAUCAGCAGUUGACUGGUAAUGGCUGCCUGGAGUGCUGUCCUGAGGAGGAGCCAGUGGAAUAGAUCUCAUGGUUUCUCUCCAAAUGUGACCUCUACUGAGAUAACUUUGACCACCCUAGCUAAAAAGUGUUCUCUCUCCCCCAUUCCCUCAGGCACACACUAUCCCCUUUCCUUGCCUAAUUGUAUUUCCUUGCCUAAUUGUAUCCUAUCACCACUCAUUAUCUAAAAUUAUUUUUCUUGUCUAUUGCCUUUUUUCCCCAUGAGAAUGUAAGUUCCAAGAGGGCAAGGACUUUGUUUAUCUUGUCCACUGCAGGAUCUGCUGUGUUUGUUAGAGUGCUGACAUGUAGGAAUCACUCAAUAAAUAAUUGUGGAGUAGAUGGCCAAA